rnacentral:rRNA from 1 species
UACGGAGGGGGCUAGCGUUGUUCGGAAUUACUGGGCGUAAAGCGCACGUAGGCGGCUUCUUAAGUCGGUGGUGAAAUCCUGGAGCUCAACUCCAGAACUGCCUUCGAUACUGGGAAGCUCGAGUCCGGGAGAGGUGAGUGGAACUGCGAGUGUAGAGGUGAAAUUCGUAGAUAUUCGCAAGAACACCAGUGGCGAAGGCGGCUCACUGGCCCGGUACUGACGCUGAGGUGCGAAAGCGUGGGGAGCAAACAGG